AAAAAAAAAAAAAAAAAAAAAAAAAAAAAAAAAAAAAAAAAAAAAAAAAAAAAAAAAAAAAAAAAAAAAAAAAAAAAAAAAAAAAAAAAAAAAAAAAAAAAAAAAAAAAAAAAAAAAAAAAAAAAAAAAAAAAAAAAAAAAAAAAAAAAAAAAAAAAAAAAAAAAAAAAAAAAAAAAAAAAAAAAAAAAAAAAAAAAAAAAAAAAAAAAAAAAAAAAAAAAAAAAAAAAAAAAAAAAAAAAAAAAAAAAAAAAAAAAAAAAAAAA
rnacentral:misc_RNA from 1 species